GACGAACGCUGGCGGCGUGCCUAAUACAUGCGAGUCGAGCGGACUGAUUAAGAGCUUGCUCUUAUGACGUUAGCGGCGGACGGGUGAGUAACACGUGGGCAACCUGCCCUGUAGAUCGGGAUAACACCGAGAAAUCGGUGCUAAUACCGGGUAAUAUCUGAGAUCACAUGAUCUUAGGUUAAAAGAUGGCUCCGGCUAUCACUACAGGAUGGGCCCGCGGCGCAUUAGCUAGUUGGUAAGGUAAUGGCUUACCAAGGCGACGAUGCGUAGCCGACCUGAGAGGGUGAUCGGCCACACUGGGACUGAGACACGGCCCAGACUCCUACGGGAGGCAGCAGUAGGGAAUCUUCCGCAAUGGACGAAAGUCUGACGGAGCAACGCCGCGUGAGUGAUGAAGGGUUUCGGCUCGUAAAGCUCUGUUGUUAGGGAAGAAACAGUACCGAACGAACUAGGUCGGUACCUUGACGGUACCUAACCAGAAAGCCACGGCUAACUACGUG
rnacentral:rRNA from 1 species